AGGAUGAACGCUGGCGGCGUGCUUAACACAUGCAAGUCGAACGGGAUCCAUCGGGCUUUGCUUGGUGGUGAGAGUGGCGAACGGGUGAGUAAUGCGUGACCGACCUGCCCCAUGCUCCGGAAUAGCUCCUGGAAACGGGUGGUAAUGCCGGAUGUUCCACAUGAUCGCAUGUGAUUGUGGGAAAGAUUCUAUCGGCGUGGGAUGGGGUCGCGUCCUAUCAGCUUGUUGGUGAGGUAACGGCUCACCAAGGCUUCGACGGGUAGCCGGCCUGAGAGGGCGACCGGCCACAUUGGGACUGAGAUACGGCCCAGACUCCUACGGGAGGCAGCAGUGGGGAAUAUUGCACAAUGGGCGCAAGCCUGAUGCAGCGACGCCGCGUGAGGGAUGGAGGCCUUCGGGUUGUAAACCUCUUUUGUUUGGGAGCAAGCCUUCGGGUGAGUGUACCUUUCGAAUAAGCGCCGGCUAACUACGUGCCAGCAGCCGCGGUAAUACGUAGGGCGCAAGCGUUAUCCGGAUUUAUUGGGCGUAAAGGGCUCGUAGGCGGCUCGUCGCGUCCGGUGUGAAAGUCCAUCGCUUAACGGUGGAUCUGCGCCGGGUACGGGCGGGCUGGAGUGCGGUAGGGGAGACUGGAAUUCCCGGUGUAACGGUGGAAUGUGUAGAUAUCGGGAAGAACACCGAUGGCGAAGGCAGGUCUCUGGGCCGUCACUGACGCUGAGGAGCGAAAGCGUGGGGAGCGAACAGGAUUAGAUACCCUGGUAGUCCACGCCGUAAACGGUGGACGCUGGAUGUGGGGCACGUUCCACGUGUUCCGUGUCGGAGCUAACGCGUUAAGCGUCCCGCCUGGGGAGUACGGCCGCAAGGCUAAAACUCAAAGAAAUUGACGGGGCCCGCACAAGCGGCGGAGCAUGCGGAUUAAUUCGAUGCAACGCGAAGAACCUUACCUGGGCUUGACAUGUUCCCGACGACGCCAGAGAUGGCGUUUCCCUUCGGGGCGGGUUCACAGGUGGUGCAUGGUCGUCGUCAGCUCGUGUCGUGAGAUGUUGGGUUAAGUCCCGCAACGAGCGCAACCCUCGCCCCGUGUUGCCAGCACGUUAUGGUGGGAACUCACGGGGGACCGCCGGGGUUAACUCGGAGGAAGGUGGGGAUGACGUCAGAUCAUCAUGCCCCUUACGUCCAGGGCUUCACGCAUGCUACAAUGGCCGGUACAGCGGGAUGCGACAUGGCGACAUGGAGCGGAUCCCUGAAAACCGGUCUCAGUUCGGAUCGGAGCCUGCAACCCGGCUCCGUGAAGGCGGAGUCGCUAGUAAUCGCGGAUCAGCAACGCCGCGGUGAAUGCGUUCCCGGGCCUUGUACACACCGCCCGUCAAGUCAUGAAAGUGGGCAGCACCCGAAGCCGGUGGCCUAACCCCUUGUGGGAUGGAGCCGUCUAAGGUGGGGCUCGUGAUUGGGACUAAGUCGUAACAAGGUA
rnacentral:rRNA from 1 species